GACGAACGCUGGCGGCGUGCUUAACACAUGCAAGUCGAACGGAAAGGCCCUGCUUUUGUGGGGUGCUCGAGUGGCGAACGGGUGAGUAACACGUGAGUAACCUGCCCUUGACUUUGGGAUAACUUCAGGAAACUGGGGCUAAUACCGGAUAGGAGCUCCUGCUGCAUGGUGGGGGUUGGAAAGUUUCGGCGGUUGGGGAUGGACUCGCGGCUUAUCAGCUUGUUGGUGGGGUAGUGGCUUACCAAGGCUUUGACGGGUAGCCGGCCUGAGAGGGUGACCGGCCACAGUGGGAAUGAGAUACGGCCCAGACUCCUACGGGAGGCAGCAGUGGGGAAUAUUGCACAAUGGGCGGAAGCCUGAUGCAGCAACGCCGCGUGCGGGAUGAAGGACUUCGGGUUGUAAACCGCUUUCGCCUGUGACGAAGCGUGAGUGACGGUAAUGGGUAAAGAAGCACCGGCUAACUACGUG
rnacentral:rRNA from 1 species